rnacentral:lncRNA from 10 species
UGUUAAUCCUCUUUUCCCAAAACAUCUUUCCAUAAACACAAAUUUUCUUCCCUUCCUCUUGUUUUGUCCUUUUCUUCUCUCAGAUUCUGUUUUUCUCUCUCUCUUAUACAAACACACACAGCUCACACACACACAAAGUCAUUUUGUUACUAUAUAGUAGAUGGAGUACUCAUUUUAAUUCCAGGGCAUAGCCUAUUGUAUUAGUCAGGGUUUUCUAAAGGUGCAGAAGUAAUAGGAUAGAUGUGUAUAUGAAGGGGAGUUUAUAAAGGAGUGCUGACUCACACAAUCCAAGGUGAAGUCCCACAAUAGACCACCUGCAAGCUGAGGAGCAAGAAAGCCAGUCCAAGUCCAAAAAACUCAAAAGUAGGGAAGCCAACAGUGCAGCCUUCAGUUUGUGGCUGAAGGCUUGAAAGCUCCUGGCAAACCACUGGUGUAAGUCCAAGAAUCCAAAAGCUGAAGAACCUGGAGUCUGAUGUUUGAGGGCGGGAAGCAUCCAGCAUGGGAGAAAGGUAAAAGCCUGAAGACUCAGAAACUCAAGUCCUUCCACAUUCUUCUGCCUGCUUUAUUCUAGCCACACUGGCAGCUGAUUAGAUGGUGCCCACCCAGAUUGAAGGUGGGUCUGCCUCUCCUAGUCCACUGACUCAAAUGUUAAUCUCCUUUGGCAACACCCUCAUAGACACACCCAGGAACAAUAUUUUGCAUCCUUCAAUCCAAUCAAGUUGACAACUCAAUAUUAACCAUCACACCUAUUAAUAACACUGGGUGCAUGUAUCAGGCAGCACCAUGUUAACUAAAGGCUUUGCUUUAAUCCCAUAAAGUCCUCACAGUAAUUCCAGGAGCAAACAUUAUUGUUCUUUUUUCACAGAUGAGGAAAAUAAAGCCCAGAGUGUUCCAGUGAUGGGCCUCGAUUCACUCAGCUUCAAGUCGGCCAGACUCCAAUGCGCAGGCUCAAUCAGGUUCAGACUUGGUAUUUGUCUUUCUGGAUCAUGCUGGGGUAUGAUUCUCAUUGCGGACAGAAUAACAACAAGAAGACCUUGAGAAUAAGCAUCAAUUUGUGAGCCCCAAGGGCGAAGAAGCUUUCCUGAAGCAACAACAGGAACAGGAAGCAAAAAGGAUUUGAAAUGAAAUAGCAAGGGUAUUAGGAACUGGAUUGAAUAAGUGAAUUGAUACUUCAGACAUCUUCCACUCCUUAAAUUGAGACACUGGAAUACUAUUUAUAUACCAUUUUUGUUUCUUUAAAUUUUUUUAUUUAUUUAUAGAUGUCAUACAAUGAGAGA